rnacentral:rRNA from 5 species
AACCUGCGGAAGGGAUCAUUA